rnacentral:rRNA from 1 species
CCUACGGGAGUCAGCAGUGAGGAAUAUUGGUCAAUGGGCGCAAGCCUGAACCAGCCAAGUCGCGUGAGGGAUGACGGUCCUAUGGCUUGUAACCUCUUUUGUCGGGUAGCAAGGCCCGCCCCGUGUUGCGGGAAGGAGAGUACCCGAAGAAAAAGCCUCGGCAAACCACGUGCCAGCAGCCGCGGUAAUUCGGAGGAUGCGAGCGUUAUCCGGAUUUAUUGGGUUUAAAGGUUGCGUAGGCGGAAGGUUAAGUCAGCGGUAAAAUGUCGGUGAUCAACACCGGCCUGCCGUUGAAACUUGUCUUCUUGAGUGAGCGAGAAGUAUGCGGAAUGCGUGGUGUAGCGGUGAAAUGCAUAGAUAUCACGCAGAACGCCGAUUGCGAAGGCAGCAUACCGGCGCUCAACUGACGCUGAGGCACGAAAGCGUGGGGAUCGAACAGGAUUAGAUACCCUUGUAGUC